UACGUAGGGUGCGAGCGUUAAUCGGAAUUACUGGGCGUAAAGCGUGCGCAGGCGGUUCGCUGUGUCCGAUGUGAAAGCCCCGGGCUUAACCUGGGAAUGGCAUUGGAAACUGGCGGGCUGGAGUGUGGCAGAGGGGGGUGGAAUUCCACGUGUAGCAGUGAAAUGCGUAGAGAUGUGGAGGAACACCGAUGGCGAAGGCAGCCCCCUGGGCCAACACUGACGCUCAGGCACGAAAGCGUGGGGAGCAAACAGG
rnacentral:rRNA from 1 species